GGACCCGACUGCUAUCAAAGUGGGACUCCUCCAUGCGAGUCAACAUAGCAAUAUGUGGCAUACGGCUCAUUAACACGUAGUCAACAUGCCCAGGGGACGUGGAUAACCUCGGGAAACUGAGGAUAAACCGCGAUAGGUCAUCACUUCUGGAAUGGGUAAUGACUUAAAUCUAUAUGGCCCCUGGAUUGGACUGCGGCCGAUCAGGCUGUUGGUGAGGUAAUGGCCCACCAAACCUGUAACCGGUACGGGCUCUGAAAGGAGGAGCCCGGAGAUGGGCACUGAGACAAGGGCCCAGGCCCUAUGGGGCGCACCAGGCGCGAAACCUCUGCAAUAGGCGAAAGCUUGACAGGGUUACUCUGAGUGAUUUCCGUUAAGGAGAUCUUUUGGCACCUCUAAAAAUGGUGCAAAAUAAGGGGUGGGCAAGUCUGGUGU
rnacentral:rRNA from 1 species